UACGAAGGGGGCUAGCGUUGUUCGGAAUUACUGGGCGUAAAGCGUGUGUAGGCGGAUCGUUAAGUGUCUUGUGAAAUCCCACGGCUCACCCGUGGAAUUGCUGGGCAUACUGGCGAUCUUGGGCCAACUAGGGGCAACUGGAACAAGCGGUGGAGCGGUGAAAUGCGUAGAUAUCAGGAGGAACACCGACGGCGAAGGCAGCACUCUGGGCCGGUACUGACGCUGAGGAGCGAAAGCAUGGGGAGCGAACAGG
rnacentral:rRNA from 1 species